AACUAUAGAGAAUACUUUUGCGGCUAUACUUUUCACAUACUACUUCUUGGAUUCCAAGUUGAAAUGAAUGACUUAUUGGAUUUUGAAGUCAGUACAUGCAAUCUAAGGAUAGUAAGUAACCCGAUUUGCUAGUGGUUGUCUCUUGAGCUAUAUCUUGAGAAAGUUGACAAGGUUUUCACUCAAAAUUUCAGAAAAUGUAUAAUUUUAUGUUAAUAAACUUUGUACAUAAGUUUUAUAACAUUUGAGUAUAGGAUUCUUGAGAUAUUAAGAAAAUAGUGUUUGGGUGCUUGAAAAUUAGGGUUUAGAGCAUCUGCUAGGAUUUCUUAGAUGUUAGAAGAUUGGGAGUGAAU
rnacentral:lncRNA from 1 species